rnacentral:rRNA from 1 species
GGGGAAUAUUGGACAAUGGGCGAAAGCCUGAUCCAGCCAUGCCGCGUGUGUGAAGAAGGUCUUCGGAUUGUAAAGCACUUUAAGUUGGGAGGAAGGGUUUCUGGCUAAUAUCCAGGAAUUUUGACGUUACCGACAGAAUAAGCACCGGCUAACUUCGUGCCAGCAGCCGCGGUAAUACGAAGGGUGCAAGCGUUAAUCGGAAUUACUGGGCGUAAAGCGCGCGUAGGUGGUUCGUUAAGUUGGAUGUGAAAGCCCCGGGCUCAACCGGGAACUUCAACCAAAACCUGCGGGCUUGAGUAAUGGAGAGGGUUGUGGAAAUUCCUUUGUAGCGGUGAAAUUCGUAGAUAUAAGAAGGGACACCAGUUGCGAAGGCGACCACCUGGGCUAAUACUGACACUGAGGUGCGAAAGCGUGGGGAGCAAACA